AAAGAUUUUCAAAUUUAUUGGUCACAAAAUAAAUUUCACUCAUAAGUUAUCAAAUUUUAAGGUCACAAUUUAUCCACCGCCACCAAAACAAUCGCCACUUGCGACCACCCUCACCUUGUUUCCGUCACAAGUGCCAUCGUCAACCGCCUCCACCAAUGUUUACAGCCACCACUACCGCCAAUACCUUCACUUGCACCACCAUACAAAAAUCGCCGCCAAAUCUACAUCGCCACCACCAUCACCGCCAGCAGCUCCAUGACCACAUACAUCGUCGCUGUAUCAUACUCCAACAACCACUCGCCACCUCCAAAUUGACCAACACCUUGCCUCGCCACAACACCAUCAUAAUAAUAAAAAAUCGACCACCACCACCACACAAUUACCGCCUGCCUGCACCACACUACCACAACAACCAACAACAACAACAAAAAUCACCGCCUACAGCACACCGCCAACAAAAACUACCAUAGCAAAAUCGACCACCACCAUACAAUCGCCCAAAAUCAACCACCACUGUUAUCUCCCAGCACCAUAUAAUCACAUCCACCAACAAUUAUUAGUGUGUAAAGACAAUGUUUGGCAACGCUGUGUAUAGAGCCACCACCUCUUCUUGUGACCACAACCACUAGAUUUGCUAAACAAUCCCAAAUUGUUGCCACCACCACCACUGCCCAUACCAACAAUCACCACAACCUCUUCGGAUUGGAAAGUGGAAUAAAAAAACCCCAAAUCGUCGUGAAGCUACGUUGAUGGACUGCAAAAAUCAGUCGACGUCUAAGCUCCUUCAUCGAGUUCUCAGUCGGUCGACGCAGCUCCUUCAUCGUCAGUUGCCGGAGUUUGAAUGGGUCGCCGGCGUAGAAGAGAGAUAACGGAGAGAAAAGAAAAGAAAGAAGGGAAAGA
rnacentral:lncRNA from 1 species